rnacentral:sRNA from 1 species
UUACAUCAACUGGGUCGCGUUAAUCGU